rnacentral:tRNA from 1 species
CGCGCGGUCCGCGAGGGCGGCGCGCGCCGCGUGGGCGGCGGCGACGGUCCGGCCGACCUCGCCGGGCGUGGCUUCGACGGCGACCUGCUCGC